rfam:Microcebus murinus cont1.438529, whole genome shotgun sequence.
UUGCCAAUGAUGGUUAAGAAUUUCUUCACCUGAAUAAACCGUGUGGUCACAUUUUAUCUGAGGCAAA